ACGGGUGAGUAACACGUGGGUAACCUGCCCUGUACUCUGGGAUAAGCCUUGGAAACGAGGUCUAAUACCGGAUACGACCUGGAAUCGCAUGAUUCUUGGUGGAAAGUUCCGGCGGUAUGGGAUGGACCCGCGGCCUAUCAGCUUGUUGGUGGGGUAAUGGCCUACCAAGGCGACGACGGGUAGCCGGCCUGAGAGGGUGACCGGCCACACUGGGACUGAGACACGGCCCAGACUCCUACGGGAGGCAGCAGUGGGGAAUAUUGCACAAUGGGCGAAAGCCUGAUGCAGCGACGCCGCGUGAGGGAUGACGGCCUUCGGGUUGUAAACCUCUUUCAGCAGGGACGAAGCGCAAGUGACGGUACCUGCAGAAGAAGCACCGGCUAACUACGUGCCAGCAGCCGCGGUAAUACGUAGGGUGCGAGCGUUGUCCGGAAUUAUUGGGCGUAAAGAGCUCGUAGGCGGUUUGUCGCGUCGGCCGUGAAAACUUGGGGCUUGACCCCAAGCCUGCGGUCGAUACGGGCAGACUUGAGUUCGGCAGGGGAGACUGGAAUUCCUGGUGUAGCGGUGAAAUGCGCAGA
rnacentral:rRNA from 1 species